GAAUUUUGGACAAUGGGGGAAACCCUGAUCCAGCCAUGCCGCGUGUGUGAAGAAGGCCUUAUGGUUGUAAAGCACUUUAAGCGAGGAGGAGGCUCUCUUGGUUAAUACCCAAGAUGAGUGGACGUUACUCGCAGAAUAAGCACCGGCUAACUCUGUGCCAGCAGCCGCGGUAAUACAGAGGGUGCGAGCGUUAAUCGGAUUUACUGGGCGUAAAGCGUGCGUAGGCGGCUUUUUAAGUCGGAUGUGAAAUCCCCGAGCUUAACUUGGGAAUUGCAUUCGAUACUGGGAAGCUAGAGUAUGGGAGAGGAUGGUAGAAUUCCAGGUGUAGCGGUGAAAUGCGUAGAGAUCUGGAGGAAUACCGAUGGCGAAGGCAGCCAUCUGGCCUAAUACUGACGCUGAGGUACGAAAGCAUGGGGAGCAAACAG
rnacentral:rRNA from 1 species